AGGGCUUUAGGUUAAGCUAAACCGGAAGUCUUCAAAACUUUCAAUGGGAAGAGCGUUUCUCAGGUCCUG
rnacentral:tRNA from 1 species